ACGGCUCAGUAACACGUGGACAAUCUGCCCUAUCGUGGUGAAUAAUCUCGGGAAACUGAGGGUAAUACACCAUAGGCCUCCGGCACUGGAAUGUCCGGAGACCCAAAGCUCCGGCGCGAUAGGAUGAGUCUGCGGAUGAUUAGCUAGUAGGCGGUGUAAUGGACCACCUAGGCUAUAAUCAUUAAGGGUCUUGAGAGAGAUAGCCCUGAGACGGAAUCUGAGACACUAUUCCGAGCCUUACGGGGUGCAGCAGGCGCGAAAACUUUGCAAUACACGAAAGUGUGACAAGGGGAUUCCAGGUGUGCAUAUACCAUAUGCACUUUUUCGAAGUUUAAAACGCUUUGGGAAUAAGGGGUGGGCAAGACUAGUGCCAGCCGCCGCGGUAAAACUAGCAUCUCGAGUGGCAGCCACAAUUACUGGGCUUAAAGCGUCCGUAGCUCGUUCAGAAAGUCCCCGGUGAAACCCUACGGCUUAACCGUAGGGCUUGCCAGGGAAACUCCUGGACUUGAAGGCAGGAGAGGUCAGGGGUACGUCUGGGGUAGGGGUGAAAUCCUAUAAUCCUAGACGGACCAACAGUGGCGAAGGCGCCUGACAUGAAUGCGCUUGACAGUGAGGGACGAGAGCCAGGGUCGCGAAACGGAUUAGAUACCCGUGUAGUCCUGGCCGUAAACGAUGUUGACUAGGUGGGGCGUGACCUUAGCGGUCAUGCUAUGCCGAAGGGAAACCGUUAAGUCAACCGCCUGGGGAGUACGACCGCAAGGUUGAAACUUAAAGGAAUUGGCGGGGGAGCAC
rnacentral:rRNA from 1 species